GUGCUAAUAAAUCCUGCAACCUAUUUAGCUUAUUUACCCAUCUCUCUUGCCAUUCCUACAUAUUUCAUGUCAGUCUAUUGCAUAAAUAUUGUGUAGUUAACAUACCUCAUGAUAUACAAAUGAAUGGUACCUAUAGAGGCUCGAUGUGGGUAAAUGAGAACCAAUGAACCUAUA